rnacentral:rRNA from 1 species
AUCCUACGGGGGGCAGCAGUGGGGGAUAUUGCACAAUGGGGGGAACCCUGAUGCAGCGACGCCGCGUGGGUGAAGAAGCGCCUCGGCGCGUAAAGCCCUGUCAGCAGGGAAGAAAAUGACGGUACCUGAAGAAGAAGCCCCGGCUAACUACGUGCCAGCAGCCGCGGUAAUACGUAGGUGGCAAGCGUUGUCCGGAUUUACUGGGUGUAAAGGGCGUGCAGCCGGGAAGACAAGUCAGAUGUGAAAUCCCGCGGCUCAACCGCGGAACUGCAUUUGAAACUGUUUUUCUUGAGUACCGGAGAGGG